rnacentral:rRNA from 1 species
GAUGAACGCUGGCGGCGUGCCUAAUACAUGCAAGUCGAGCGAAGAGGGGACGGGUGAGUAACACGUGGAUAACAUCCUAUAAGCCUGGGAUAACUUCGGGAAACCGGAGCUAAAACCGAAACUUAUAGCUGGAUCCGCGCUGCAUUAGCUAGUUGGUAAGGUAACGGCUUACAAAGGCAACAAUUCCUAGCCGACCUGGGAGGGUGAUCGGCCACACUGGAACGGAGAGACGGUCCAGAUUCCUACGGGAGGCAGCAGGAGGGAAGCUUUCGCAAUGGGCGAAAGCCUGACGGAGCAACGCCGCGUGAGUGAUGAAGGUCUGCGGUUUGUAAAGCACUUUUAUUAGGGAGGCGGUACCUAAUCAGAAAGCCACGGCUAACUACGUGCCAGCAGCCGCGGUAAUUC